AGUCGAACGCGAAAGUCCCCUUCGGGGGACAAGUAGAGUGGCGCACGGGUGAGUAACACGUAGGUAAUCUACCUUCGGAUGGGGAAUAACAACCGGAAACGGUUGCUAAUACCGCAUAAUGCAGCGGCACCUAAUGGUGACAGUUGUUAAAGCGGGGGAUCGAAAGACCUCGCGUCUGAAGAGGAGCCUGCGGCAGAUUAGCUAGUUGGUAAGGUAAUGGCUUACCAAGGCGAUGAUCUGUAGCCGGCCUGAGAGGGCGGUCGGCCACACUGACACUGACAUACGGGUCAGACUCCUACGGGAGGCAGCAGUCGGGAAUUUUGGGCAAUGGGCGAAAGCCUGACCCAGCAACGCCGCGUGAAGGAUGAAAUCCUUCGGGAUGUAAACUUCGCAAGAACGGGAAGAAUAAGUAGGGGACAAUACCCCCUAUGAUGACGGUACUGUUUGUAAGCUCCGGCUAACUCCGUGCCAGCAGCCGCGGUAAUACGGGGGGAGCAAGCGUUGUUCGGAUUUACUGGGCGUAAAGGGCGCGUAGGCGGCCACCGCAAGUCAGUUGUGAAAUCUCUGGGCUUAACCCAGAAAGGUCAACUGAUACUGCGGGGCUAGAGUGCAGAAGGGGCAACUGGAAUUCUCGGUGUAGCGGUGAAAUGCGUAGAUAUCGAGAGGAACACCUGCGGCGAAGGCGGGUUGCUGGGCUGACACUGACGCUGAGGCGCGAAAGCUAGGGGAGCGAACGGGAUUAGAUACCCCGGUAGUCCUAGCCUUAAACGAUGAAUGCUUGGUGUCUGGGGUUUUAUAGUCCCCGGGUGCCGUC
rnacentral:rRNA from 1 species